GACGCGCCGUUUCCCAGGGCUGGAUCUACUGUGGCAGGAACCCCGCGGCCGUACCGAGCCUCCAGGAGUGCGCAGGAAAGCCGCACAUGUCCGCACGAGGGUCCUGUUCGGGUUUCUCCAGAAUCACGGGGUCCUUGAGACUUUUCCCUGCCUGCGAUCCCUGUCUCUCACUUAGCUGAGAGGGACUAUUAAAAAAACGAAAAAGAAGAAAUAAACCAGGGACCCCAGUCUUCCCUUUGAAAGGAUUCUGCAAAAGAUGCUACUUCAGUUGGAUCAAGAUAUGUACAGAGAAGCCAGACUUUUACAUCCUCAAGUUAAAUGGUACUUACCAAAAGACUAAGGGCAAAGUGCCACCACACUGCAGUAUUUGCAUUGCACUCCGUGGGCCUAAGACAAUAUUGUGAUGCCUGGGUGCUGCAGGCUGGCCUUUCAAUGUGGAUAAUCCUGAGCAACCCUGCAGCAAACCUAGGGUGAGUGAAUCUAUUUCUGCCUGCAUCUCUCAGUAUCCCACUGCUGUGUGGUGCUCACAGGGCUGGGAACAAAGUCUACAGAGAUAAUGGCUGCAAUUUGCAAGGGCUUCUCUUUGUUUCACUGUCUGAGCUUGCUUGCUGAGGCGGCACUAAUUGCAGAACAAGGCUUCAGCUCAAGGGGCCUCACAAGCAGAGCUGCUUGCUCCUGAAGCUUAAUUCCCUGAUUCGUGACCUUGGAACAGCAGGGACGGGGGAGAAGAGGGAACACAGAUCCGACAGUUGUUGCAGUGAGGAUGGCAGAAUGGCCUGAGGGCUCAAGACAUAGAUCCUGUUCUCAGCUCUGUUUUCUACUGGAUGUCAGCUGUGGACAUCUCACAAGAUCUUUCCUUGGACUUAAGUUUGUCUCAUAAUGGCGAUGAUCAGGCGCGUUGAGAUAUUUGGAAGACAGAAAAUGCAAAAACAUUUUGUAGGAUCUUGCUAUUAAAUAUAGGACUAGACAAACACCUCCAAAUUUUGUUAUUAUUCAGGUAGAUAAAUAUAGAGCUGGUUGCACUGAGUCCCUUCUGUGUUUUCCUUCUGUGAAUAUUAUAGCAAGUGACACAUAAUGUGGAAUAAGAAGGAAAAAAAAAAAAAAAAAGGAAAAAGGGAUAAAAAGAAUAAUUUUAAACUUGUAUGAGAAACUGUUCAAAAAAAGAUUUUUUGAUUGUGUUAGCUCAUUUGCAUUUGAGAACUGACUUGUUUUACAGGAAAAACACAAUAUGAUCUUAUUGUAAAAAUAAUAGCAAUAAACUCCCCUAAUUAUAAAGUCCAUUGAACUUUCUUGUAGCCAAAUCCCUGAGUAUCUUCCUCCUAUGUGGCAUCUGAAGAAUCUUCUUUUCUCUUCAAAGAUCUAGAAUUCUGUGUACCACUAUAAAAGUAAUUUAAAUCACACCAAAUUUUCAUAGGCAACUAAAGACAGGGAUGGUAGUAGGAGCCACUUUUAGGAUACAAACUUGUCGUAGUUGCUGGGGGAGGUGAAUUUUUUCAGGGAAAGGUAAGCAGGCUAAUUAGUAAUUAGCUUUCUGCUGGCACCUGGAUUAGUCACUCGGAGGUUUGGACACGCCUCUGAGGACACAAAGAGUUAAAAGCAGGACCCCCAAGGGGGUUCGGUCUCUUUUGGAUCCCGGUUUCAGCAGAGAGACGUCUCAGGCCUCCUUCCCCUGCCCAGCCACGAGGCUGGGUGGGGGAGGGGAAACACGUGGUCGGCUCAGGUAAGCCGGAGCCCUGGGGGGGAGAAGAGAGGAGACAGGACUGGAACUGAACUGCCCUGUCUAAGAUGGAAGGGUAGAAAACUGUGGAAGUGCCUUUUGUUUGUGCUCACCCCCUCUUCCCCCCAAACUCCGGGAGAAGGUGCCCAGCCACGUGGGGGUUGCCGAGCCUGGGAGUGCCUGUGUCUGCACCCUGCCGAGAAAAAACUGUUAACCCUUGCUUGGCAGAAAGAAACUUUUCUUAGACAUUGAUUCUCAUGACUAGUGAUUUUAGAAAAAAGGAGAAAGAAGCGGCCUGGGACCGAGGUGAUAAAGCACGAUUGGAAGGAACCCGAUGGGCAAAGAAUGAGAGGAGUAGCUUUUUGAGCUGGACUUUUCUUGCAUAAUGUCAGCCAUGGACUGAACUUGAGUCUCUGUUGAACAUAAACUGCAUUUUUGGGUGGAUACAGCUGCCCUUGCUUUUGCUACAGUGACUGGCACUUGAAGAGUAGAGCGAGCAGAGAAGAGAGGGGGAAGGUGAGGUGGCGCCCUCUGCCCUCAGGGCAGACCUGCUCCUGGAACCCCGGCCCCUGGGUAAAAAGGGGAGAGCUUGGCAUGCAAGUAUCCUUAAAAGAGCCCUGUAUGCAGUUUUCAGACUAUGGACAGCGGUGAGAGCGCUGGACAUAGGAAAAAGAGAGAGUCACCCUGGCAGACUUCUCCGGGCAGUGCCACAGGUGACAUGGGAACACAUAAGGGGUGGACCCGUGUUUUCUGAGGAACAGUCUGUAGUGCGAGAGAGACUCCUCUCUCCCUUGCUAAAUUAAAGAUUAGUUUUUUUGAGUGGUGAUUGUUUAAUCUAAAACCCAAAGGUUGGUCUGUGAAGAGUGAUGUGUGGGGAGGUAGAAACUGAGAGAAGAAAUGUUCCAAGAAGUUUUUAUUUCUGUCUCUGUGUGUGUUUAAGAGUAUUUCUGUCCCUGUUCUUAUGUAAUGUAAUAAAGUUUUAGUGAGUUUUUUUUUGUUUUCAAGAUUUAAGCCUGCUCUGCUCUGUUCCUGAUCACAUCCCACAGUAGCUGUUAGAGAAAAAAAACAUAUUCAUGAGUGCAUUAACAUCUGGCCAGUGCCAACCCAUGACAAAACUGAACAGGGAAAUCACAUCACAAAAGCUUAAAGAGAACAGUGCUAAUGGGAGAGAUGAGUGGGAGUAAUUCUUCCCAGUGAAGGUGGCUCUGCAAAAUGGUGUCCCCACUGUCUCUGCAAAAGGGCAAAUGAAGGACACUUUGAGCCUUCCAGCUCCACAAACCCAGAAUCACAGAGCCAAUAGGAGGACUUCUUUCCUGACACCAGACUACGCCAAGGACAGCUCCAGCACUGCUAUGCCAGAACAGCCAAGACAUCCCAUGUGCAAGACAGGGCAGACAAAGGCACCAUCUCCAGAUGGUGCCAUUCUGCAGGGCAGAAAGAAGACUCUAACUCCAAAUAAAACCAGGUCAAACUUCCACAUACUGUUCUUUUGGUUUGGUCCUCUCCAGCCUCAUCUAUGCUCUCUGCUUAUGACACGUGGAAAAAUUGGUAAUUACAUGGCACAUGCCCCUAACUUGAUGAAUUGUAUGCCCAGAACCCCAGUAUCUGCAGUAGUGUCUGUCUUCUAAAGACAAAGGAGAAGCUAAAUGACCUCCCCAUGCUUCUGACAGGAAAAAAAAAAAAAGAAGAAAAAAAAAAAAAAAGCCAGCACAAAGGAAAAGCAAAACUCAUGCGGUACAGUUUGUCCUCUAGGCAAUUUUUAAGGUCAGUCUCAACAAGCAACACAUAAGAAAGGCUGAUUUUUAGAGACUCAAGCUGAACCCCAAAAUGUCAUUGUGCACCUUGUUGGGGGGGGGAAGUUUGCUUGCUUUUUUCACUAAUAGCUUCAACUUCCCCCACCAGGACUGAUGGGAGAAUUAUAUUCACUUCAUAGUAAGCAGAAGUCAAAUUUCAAAGCAGUUUUACUUCAAUAGAGGCACAAAUAGAGGUGGGGAUAGGAGAAGAUGCUGAGGUGAGAAACACUAUGUUCAAAUAACACAAAAAUAAUGUCCAGUCUUACUUCUUUUCUUUCAGAUUUGCUAUAAACCUUGCAGAGAUUAAAAUAAUAGCAAUAGAACUCCAAAGAAAAUAGACAAGAAAAAGCGAUACACAAGUACUAAACAAGUACAGAAUGACCACACUAUGACCAAGGGGCCAGAAAGAGACAUGGACUUCUGAUUUUUAAUCCUGAACCUGCCACAUCUUUGCAAGUUCAUCUUCAGCAAACCAUUUAUAGGUCCUAUAUGUCCCUUCCAAUCCCUUUCAUAAUUUAUAAAAGGGACAAAAGCCUCAAGUUCUUCAUACACGAAGUUCUGUACAUGACCAGGGUGUUAUAUUACUAUUAACCCAUAUAACCCAAAUAAACAAAUCCCAAGUCCUCUUAAAAAUAAGGAGUGUAAGAGUGGGCUAUGAUGCUGGAAAUAUUCAUAAUAAGAUAUUUUAAGGAUAUUAAUUUAUGGAUCAGUUUUCUCCUAUACAGCAUUGGUACAGAUUAAAAAUCUUCAUGGAAUACAGAGAGUCUUGGCAGUAAGCUUCAAGAGCACCUAAUAAAAGAGCCCAAAUUUCAAGUGUUCCUGAAAUGACAGUUUGUUCAUUGUGUCCCACUGGCAUCUCCUGAUACCAUCUCACUUUUUUUUACUGUAUUUCACUUGAUAGAAAGAAUCCUUGUAAAUCGAAACAGAAGCACAUUUAGAGCAGUUAGUGCACCCAAAUUAAAUAACCUCCCUUCCCUCUUAUUUGCAAAGACAUGCAUAUUUUUAUCUUCAAGUGUUUCUAUUCUACAAAUUUGACCAAGAAAAUCUGUAGCCUGACAAUGCAGCAUUGGCAUCUCCUGCUGAAGGAAACCAGUUCCUCCCUGACAUCUUCAGUGACUACUAAAUGGUUUUUCCUAUCAUCUGUCAAUGUUUACAUUAUAUAGGAAAAUAUAAUAAUAAUAAUACAUUACAUAAUAACACAUAGGCAAUA